GGAAGACUGAAAAGCUCAUUGUAGUAGAAAGAUAGAAGUCGAAGAAGCCUAGAAAGAAGAGAUGAGGGCUGGAGAGCUGGCUGAGCCGGCAAGUGUCUGCAGAGCAAGCGUGAGCGAUUGAGUUUGAGUCUCAGAAGCCAGACAUGGUGGCAUGUGCUUUGUAAUCCCAGCUCUGGGGAGAUGGAGACAGGCAGAUCCCUGGAGCUUGCUGGACAGCUAGCCCAUACCUAUGGGUUUCUUUCUUCUUCAAAACAAAAGAGAACACAUGCCUUUACUCUCCCUUUAGUAGUGGGAACAGACAUGAGUGGUGCUCUUGUUCCCCAUGUUGACUGGAUGUUCCAUGCACUUUGCUUUCCUGAUUUAAUCUUGUAAUCUUGAACAUCAUCAAAUUUCUAAGGUUCUCCAUGGAGGCUCCAGCUACUCAAGACAGCAUCCUUCUGGUGGGUGAAUCAGCACCAAUGUUACCUGAACCAUCAUGAUGCAAGUAGAAUGACCAAGUCAGCCUGAUUUCUUCAUUUUGAACCACAGCCUCAGUUGAGCACCUUGAUCAUUUGAAGUCCUUAUUCAUAUCUUCAGCUGCUUCUCAGCCAAUGAUCUCCUCCGGCUGGGGUGUCACCUUUACUGAAGGAGCAGGACCUUCUUCAGUAUCAUCAUGCCAUGUUGGAGUUUCUGUCCCCCUGCUCCUGUCCAUCUUAUCUGAAGUUGUGCAAGUCUAGAGACAGAUGUAGAGUGGGCACUGAGCCACUACAUCCUCCACUAUGUCUUCAUUAGGCAUGGUACCCAACACCCCCUACCUAAUCUAUUCCUCUUCUCCAUGGCCCCAAAGAUAGAAGCCUUUUGGCAGGAGCUACCCAAAGUGAGGCAUGGCUCCUUGUGUUCAGGAAUAGAGCCAUCAGUCAGGGUGGGUCAGAAAGAGCUUCAAGAGAAGCUUGUGAGACAGGUUUGCUCUCAUGCACAGCUUUCCCUAGCAACAUUUGGACAACUGAAGUUGCGCCUUUUCCAUGAGGAAGUGUUAUCAAACUUGGGGGUCACUUACUAUGCUCUAAGCUAGGUUUGGCCACCCACCACCCUUCAUAAGCCAAUUAAAGGAGCCAAAUUAAUAGUGGAAAGCAGAAAAAGAUUUAUUCAACACGACCACAUUGGGAAGAGGGACAAAGGGAUCCAGCCACUGUCCAAGUCAUUUUCAGCAAGGUUAAAGUUCAGAUAGAGAGCCAAGGAUAUGCAUAUAUGUAUGUCUAAGCAGUACCAGUUAAAGUACUGCUUAGUGGAGUCCCACCUAUCUCUCUGACCUAUCAUUAUCUGGGACUCAGUGUCAUUCUGUAAGGUGGUUAGAACUGUGUGAAACCUCUCUCAGGAAGACAUGUUCCCCCGAUGGCUGGUAUGUUUUCCUUCUCUGAGCAUGAGGCUCCUGGAGAAACUCCCAUUCUUUGGGAUCCUUUGUUUGAAUAGUCUGAUACAUUGAGAUGCAUGGUGUCUCAUUAGAAUAUCUUCAUUUCUGUCAGGCCAGUUACAUAAAGACACUGUAUUAGUUGCUUUUCUCAUUGCUCUGACAGAACACCUAACAGAAAUAACUUCUGAGAGGAAGGGCUUCCUUGGGUUGUGUUUCAGAGGGGUACAGCCCUUCCUGGUGAGGAUGAACACAGUGGCUGGGGCAGCUGAGAUGUUGGGUCUGUAGUCCCAGGGACUAAUGGGAUGGUCUAUUAAAUCCUAGUGGAUCAGGAAGCAAAGAGGUCUGGAAACAGAAGUUUCCAUAACCCUACAACCCUCCAUUUGUCGGUGAGGCCCCACCCUCUAAAGGUUCCAUAACCUCCAGAAAUAGUAUCAGUGUCAGCAGCAGGAGGUCGAGUGUUCAAACACAGGAGCCUGCGGCUGGCACAUUUACAUUCAAAUCAUAAUGCUCACCUCUGAUGGGGAGGGAAGCAGGCUGGGAAGAGGCUGUGAACAGCUGCCACCUCAAGACCUGGCUGGUCAGUUUAGGUGGGAGGGGGCCCUAAGGAUGGCUUCCGUCCAAGAACCCCGUUCUCAGGAGGCUAACCCAAAGCAAAAGAAAAUUGGGGGAAGGACGCUUGUGGGGGAAAUAGGUGUGCCAUCUGUAUUCUCUCUCCCUGAGUCCUCACCACCAUCGUCACAAUCACCCAACAGGCUAAGUAUCCACAACAGGGUCUGGUAUUAAAUUACAGUUCAUGAAAGUAAAGGAAAGACCCAGAGUCACUGAGGAAGGAUGGGUGGCUUUCUAUGUACUUCAUAUAAAACUGUCAAAGAGGAAAAGCUUAAAAACAAACAAACAAACAAACAAAGACAAAAAGUACAGAACAAAAUGAACAGGAUGCAGGCCCAGGAAGCAAUGAGGAUGUAAGUGGGUGAGCGGUUAUGAAGGUGUGUGUAUGGACCAUUCUCUUGGGAGUCUGGAUGAUACACUGCCGGUGAGCAGGAGCUGAGUCAGGAGGAAGGGCCCGUGGAGAGUGUGCCGGCAUUUGCUUUGCAUUUAGAACUUCAAAUUUAGCCCUGUUUGGAUUUUCUAGUCAUGUUUCAAUGUUGCUUCUUUUCCUCUCGUUUUAUGUUUUAUGCAUCCAUUACUUCUUAGAAACUAUCAGUUAGGGAUUAGGUAAGUCGUAGGAUACAGCUCACUUGGAGUUUUGCCAUUUUUUUUUCCUCUAUGUAAAAAACUGAGUUCCGUGUGACUCAGUGCUAGAGUCCUUGGCUAGCACAUAUGAAACCCUAGCUUUUGUUGCCAGUGUAAAAAAAAAAAAGUAAAUAAGUAGUAUUUUUAAAAGG
ensembl:antisense Gm42765 predicted gene 42765